rnacentral:lncRNA from 1 species
AAAAAAAGUUUCAGUAUAAAUAAGCAGGUUUUUCCUGGAAAAAAUACACUCGUUCAAAUAGUAACGAUAUUUGCAAGAUGAAUUCUAAACUGUGCAUUGUACUUGUUGUAUUUGCCAUUUUGGCAAUAUUAGGUACCGCAAUGGCUGAUCCACAAUUGGGAAUUUUAGGACAGGUAAAAGAAUUGGGUGACAAAAUUCUUAGCACUGCCGGAGCUCACAAUAACGAUGCCGAAGAUGUACAAACACUCCAUGCUCAUCGUGGAUAGAAAUUGCUAUUAUGUAUACAUUAUAUUUGCUUUGUAUUAUUUUGAAUCUCCAUUUUAAUAGCAUUGCAAUAAAAACUGUUUGUUGAA